ensembl:lincRNA 1700049E15Rik RIKEN cDNA 1700049E15 gene
AGGCUUCCCAGAGCGAGAAAACUCCCACCUGGCUUCACGGACGCCUCAAGCUGAGUUUUGAUUCUGACAUCUCUCUGCUUUCUGGAGUGCCCUGGAGAGUGGCCCAGCGAAAAUAACCAAACGAUGGACUAGAAGUUUCUGUUUCACACACAGGCACAGGGCGGAGGAGGCACUAGAGUUUUCUAAGCAGCCGAGACUCACUUGGGCUACAAUCUCUCCAUGAUCCAGCACCUCUUCAGGAGUCCUUCAGCAUGCCUGCUCCUGAACUACAUUUGGAAGAGAGGCAUGCUGGUACCCAAGUGUGUGGAUCCACUUCCAGUGGUGAUGUCAAAACUAUGUCUCUAGUACCAGCCUCCUGAGAAGUCCCACUCACAUUGCCAAGUUCCUGCUGGCAUUGCCAUGUGAGUGAAUGAAACCUCAGGAAACUUAGUGGAAGCACACUGCCGUCUUUAACCCAGAAGUCAUGGAUAUCUGUGCUCCUAAUCUUUACAAGAAGUGUCAUCAUUUGUCCAUUUGAGCGAGUCUUGAUGUGCAGUCCAGGCUGAUGUAUAACUUGGUAUAUAGAACAGACCGGCCUCAAUGUGAUGGCAAUCUUUCUGCCUUACCUCCUGAAUGCUGGGGACAGUGUGAGCUCCACACCAGCCUGCUUCCCUCUGUUGUUUGCCUCUGGUGUGCGUCAUCUUGACGAAGUCUGACUAUCAGUGUAUCUCCUUUAUCAGUUUCCAAGGAUCUUGUCAUCAAGAAUGGGGUGUUUUUCUGCUUAUUCACAUCCUCAGUCCAGGCCUUGACCUGAGCUUGGUAUCUGUUUGAAACGUGGCAAACUCUGGCAAAUUAAAACUUUGGUACCCUGUAAGCAAACACAGAGAGGGCAUGUUCUCUUCCCCCUUUGGAUUUUUCAAUACACUCAAUUUCAUGAACCUC